GAUGAACGCUGCCAGAAUGCUUAACACAUGCAAGUCAACUUGAAUUUGGGUUUUUACCUUAGGUUUGGGUGGCGGACGGGUGAGUAACGCGUAAAGAACUUGCCUCACAGCUAGGGACAACAUUUGGAAACGAAUGCUAAUACCUAAUAUUAUGAUAAUAGGGCAUCCUAUAAUUAUGAAAGCUAUAAGCGCUGUGAGAGAGCUUUGCGUCACAUUAGCUAGUUGGAGAGGUAACGGCUCACCAAGGCGAUGAUGGGUAGCCGGCCUGAGAGGGUGAUCGGCCACAAGGGGACUGAGACACGGCCCUUACUCCUACGGGAGGCAGCAGUGGGGAAUAUGGGACAAUGGACCGAGAGUCUGAUCCAGCAAUUCUGUGUGCACGAUGAAGUUUUUCGGAAUGUAAAGUGCUUUCAGUUGGGAAGAAACAAAUGACGGUACCAACAGAAGAAGUGACGGCUAAAUACGUG
rnacentral:rRNA from 1 species